GCUGGCGUGGCUCAACGGUAGAGCAGCUGAUUUGUAAUCAGCAGGUUGUUGGUUCGAUUCCGAUCGCCAGCUCCA
rnacentral:tRNA from 1 species